GCUCCUGUGGUGUAGCGGCCAAUCAUGGAGCCCUCUCGAGGCUCCGACACGGAUUCGAAUUCCGUCAGGAGCACCA
rnacentral:tRNA from 1 species